ensembl:lncRNA
ACUUAAUGAACCAACGCGUCCGUUACUAUGCUGGUUGCUCGGCUACCUUGUAGAGGUAGGAGGACGCAGGAAGUUAUUUUUCACCUCAGAAGCGCUUGCUCAGUAGCAAGCGGUAAAUUGCCGCUUAGGCCGGCCAGAGUGGCUCGCUUGUGGGCAUGCUGGCCUCAUAUGGGAGCAUAUAGCAACACCUUCAGUUGUGCGUCAAGAAUUGAGCAUAGCAAGUCUGGUAUGGAGGCCUGGUUAUGAAAAGGGUAAAUAGUUAUAUAGUAAUAUGCUCUAAAACUCGCUGGCGACAAAGAAACUUUGCUGCCCCGUUUCCAAUCGUCCACAUGGCUCGGAGAACUUAUUCAAAUAAGAUGUUAAAAGGAUGUGGUCCAACAACACAGCAAGAGAGGCAGUCCGUGUGUGGGAGAUCUUCACCUACUUCUUCGAAGAGGGUGUUGUUCCCUGAAGUCAUCUUGAGUGACCUAGAACUCUGGAACAAGUCCUCGUCCUGGGUCCAGGCCUUCGAAGGUGUCCACACUCUACACAGAGGUCAGCGUCCACUGCUUCUGUCAGAAAUACGUGAGAAAAGAUGGUAGGUAUUUUACUACAUUGCAUCUUGUUGUAUAUUAUAUGUUAUUGUAAAUAACCUGUUAUACAAAUUUAAAACAAUAUUACAAAGAUGUUUUUUUGCAGACAUUGGCUGUGAAGUUGGUAAGUAUAUAGAAUAUGUAUUUGUCUUGUAGUCCAAGUAACAUUUACAAGUAUGUAAAUAUUUGUAUAUUUUUCCAUUUGUUUGCUGGCAAAUAUUUGAAACUUGUUAGCUGACAUGGCUAAUUGAGUGACUGUCAGUGACUGACAAAGAUCUUGUGUAAUUCUACUAUUUUAACUCUCAACAGUAAGUUGAGACUGAGUUUCUAUUUUUUUAUAGAUUUUUUGGGGUCAGGCCCUAAGCGACUGUUUAUCAAAUGUUAUUG